GAUGAACGCUGACAGAAUGCUUAACACAUGCAAGUCAACUUGAACUUCGGUUUGGGUGGCGGACGGGUGAGUAACGCGUAAAGAACUUGCCUCACAGAUAGGGACAACAUUUGGAAACGAAUGCUAAUACCUGAUAUUAUGAUUAUAUGGCAUCGUAUAAUUAUGAAAGCUAUAUGCGCUGUGAGAGAGCUUUGCGUCCCAUUAGCUAGUUGGAGAGGUAACGGCUCACCAAGGCGAUGAUGGGUAGCCGGCCUGAGAGGGUGAUCGGCCACAAGGGGACUGAGACACGGCCCUUACUCCUACGGGAGGCAGCAGUGGGGAAUAUUGGACAAUGGACCAAGAGUCUGAUCCAGCAAUUCUGUGUGCACGAUGAAGUUUUUCGGAAUGAAAAGUGCUUUCAGUUGGGAAGAAAAAAAUGACGGUACCAACAGAAGAAGUGACGGCUAAAUACGUG
rnacentral:rRNA from 1 species